UACAGAGGGUGCAAGCGUUAAUCGGAAUUACUGGGCGUACAGCGUGCGUAGACGGUUACAUAAGUCGGGUGUGAAAGCCCCGGGCUCAACCUGGGAAUUGCAUUCGAGACUGCGUAGCUAGGGUGCGGAAGAGGGAAGCGGAAUUUCCGGUGUAGCAGUGAAAUGCGUAGAUAUCGUGAGGAACACCAGAGGCGAAGGCGGCUACCUGGACAAUUGCUGACGCUCAGGCACGAAAGCGUGGGGAGCAAAAGGG
rnacentral:rRNA from 1 species